rnacentral:lncRNA from 1 species
CUUAAACUUUUGAGUAUUUUUUGUGGGAGUGACUACAAUGAUAAACAAGAUUUUAGGGCUUUCAUUUCUCUUCAUCUGUGGCUAAAUGCUUUAUCAAAUUUAUAAAUAACAGCUAAUGCCACACAGAGACAUUUUUAAAGGAGUCAUAAAAUGGUUCUAUCUAGAAAUCAGGACGUUGUUCUCAUUUGCAUGGUCCCGCACACCUCAUCGUCGUGGUCAGAGAGAUCGGUUCAGUUCAGUCCAUUGAGUGAAUACGGACACAAGACCCAGCUGAUACAACAAUAAUGCGACUCCGUCAGAGAGUUCAUUUCUUCUUUCUUGGGAUGUGUGUUGGCUUGUCACUGAGUGGGUAUGUAUAAAUUAUAUUUAAAAUAUGUAGCUGAUUUACUCACACUUUUGGCAU